CAGCAGCCGCGGGAAUACGUAGGGUGCAAGCGUUAAUCGGAAUUACUGGGCGUAAAGCGUGCGCAGGCGGCUUCUUAAGUCGGAUGUGAAAUCCCUGAGCUUAACUUAGGAAUUGCAUUCGAUACUGGGAAGCUAGAGUAUGGGAGAGGAUGGUAGAAUUCCAGGUGUAGCGGUGAAAUGCGUAGAGAUCUGGAGGAAUACCGAUGGCGAAGGCAGCCAUCUGGCCUAAUACUGACGCUGAGGUACGAAAGCAUGGGGAGCAAACAGGAUUAGAUACCCCCGUAGUCCCUGUCUCUUAUAC
rnacentral:rRNA from 1 species